GCUCUAUCGGGGAAAAUUAUCCAAACUGUGGACAUUGGAGACAGUUUUGAGACUUCAAUAGAUUUGUACCACAGUUCUUUGGGGAACAAUCAGUUCAACCGAUACCCGAUGAAAAUUGGCCCAAUCAACAUGUGCA
rnacentral:misc_RNA from 1 species